GGGCGGGAGAUUUGCUACUGUGAUGCGGAGAAAGUUGGACGUAUGUAACCGAGGAGGGUUACCCUCAGUGGGAGGUGCAAGCCGCCGAACAGCUCAACAGAGACAACACGCGGAAGAUACCUAUCUAAGCCCAGACAGAAGCCCUUGAACAGGGGGCGCUGAUUCAACACAGGACCAAAGGCAACAGGACUGAGUGAACAUGGACUGAAACCCCCCAUAGCCAGCGAAGGGAACCGCCACAUUGGCUUGCACAUGCGCAAAAUGAAGGGAGUUGCACCUCUCCGCACCUGCACGCAAGUCUGUUCAAAGUGGACCAAAACCGGUACUAUUUGAAAAACAAGGCAACUGGAAGACUUUGCUCAGAGGAAGGUACCCAGGAGCUGCUGCCAAAGAGCCAAAUCUCGCUUCUUCAGCUCAGCACCGUGGAGGUCGCCAUGCAGCUCUCCACGAGUUCCAAUGUUGAAUUCUUCCACAACAUUGAGCCUAAUGAAUACAUAGGUGAUUUAUUUAAACUCAAAUAAAAAACCAGCUUAGCCAACCUGAAGAAACUUGAGGAAGUCUUUAACCAGGAAACAUUUGGGUGGCUUCUGAAAUCCUGGGAGAGACAACUAGCUGAAAGAGAAUGAAGAUCUUCAAGCCUUCAUUAAGAUUGCCUCGCACUGUAGGGAAUGCAAGAAUUUUAACUCCAUGUUUGCAGUCAUCAGGUGAUGGUGCUAAGGCCUGGGGUCAUUAAAUGACCUGCACAUAGCCACAUGUCACUGAGCACUUAACGCUGAUCUUCAAUUCUGAGCAUCCAGUUUUUGUACUCUAUAAAUUUAGUAUAAUAUCACAUUCUAUGUUAGAGUCAUUUUGACACUUAAAUAAAAUUGUUAUCCAGUA
rnacentral:lncRNA from 1 species